rnacentral:rRNA from 1 species
UUUAUGAGAGUUUGAUCCUGGCUCAGGACGAACGCUGGCGGCGUGCCUAAUACAUGCAAGUAGAACGCUGAAGUCUGGUGCUUGCACUAGACGGAUGAGUUGCGAACGGGUGAGUAACGCGUAGGUAACCUGCCUCAUAGCGGGGGAUAACUAUUGGAAACGAUAGCUAAUACCGCAUAACAGUAUUUACUGCAUGGUAGAUACUUGAAAGGAGCAAUUGCUUCACUAUGAGAUGGACCUGCGUUGUAUUAGCUAGUUGGUGAGGUAACGGCUCACCAAGGCAUCGAUACAUAGCCGACCUGAGAGGGUGAUCGGCCACACUGGGACUGAGACACGGCCCAGACUCCUACGGGAGGCAGCAGUAGGGAAUCUUCGGCAAUGGGGGCAACCCUGACCGAGCAACGCCGCGUGAGUGAAGAAGGUUUUCGGAUCGUAAAGCUCUGUUGUAAGAGAAGAACUGUGAGAAGAGUGGAAAGUUUCUCACUUGACGGUAUCUUACCAGAAAGGGACGGCUAACUACGUGCCAGCAGCCGCGGUAAUACGUAGGUCCCGAGCGUUGUCCGGAUUUAUUGGGCGUAAAGCGAGCGCAGGCGGUUUGAUAAGUCUGAAGUAAAAGGCUGUGGCUUAACCAUAGUACGCUUUGGAAACUGUCAAACUUGAGUGCAGAAGGGGAGAGUGGAAUUCCAUGUGUAGCGGUGAAAUGCGUAGAUAUAUGGAGGAACACCGGUGGCGAAAGCGGCUCUCUGGUCUGUAACUGACGCUGAGGCUCGAAAGCGUGGGGAGCGAACAGGAUUAGAUACCCUGGUAGUCCACGCCGUAAACGAUGAGUGCUAGGUGUUGGGUCCUUUCCGGGACUCAGUGCCGCAGCUAACGCAUUAAGCACUCCGCCUGGGGAGUACGACCGCAAGGUUGAAACUCAAAGGAAUUGACGGGGGCCCGCACAAGCGGUGGAGCAUGUGGUUUAAUUCGAAGCAACGCGAAGAACCUUACCAGGUCUUGACAUCCCGAUGACCGCCCUAGAGAUAGGGUUUCUCUUCGGAGCAUCGGUGACAGGUGGUGCAUGGUUGUCGUCAGCUCGUGUCGUGAGAUGUUGGGUUAAGUCCCGCAACGAGCGCAACCCCUAUUGUUAGUUGCCAUCAUUCAGUUGGGCACUCUAGCGAGACUGCCGGUAAUAAACCGGAGGAAGGUGGGGAUGACGUCAAAUCAUCAUGCCCCUUAUGACCUGGGCUACACACGUGCUACAAUGGCUGGUACAACGAGUCGCAAGUCGGUGACGGCAAGCUAAUCUCUUAAAGCCAGUCUCAGUUCGGAUUGUAGGCUGCAACUCGCCUACAUGAAGUCGGAAUCGCUAGUAAUCGCGGAUCAGCACGCCGCGGUGAAUACGUUCCCGGGCCUUGUACACACCGCCCGUCACACCACGAGAGUUUGUAACACCCGAAGUCGGUGAGGUAACCUUUUAGGAGCCAGCCGCCUAAGGUGGGAUAGAUGAUUGGGGUGAAGUCGUAACAAGGUAGCCGUAUCGGAAGGUGCGGCUGGAUCACCUCCUUUCUAAGGAA